ACCUAGCAUCCUCCGAGACACCCGCGCUCCCUUCCCUUGUCGGCGCCUGCGCCUGCGCUCGCUGGCCACAGAAGGGCGGCGGCGGACUCGUCUCCUCCCUCCACCCCCAAUCAACUCUCGCGUCCCCUCCACCUCCCCUAUAGCAGGCGCAGCGGGAUGGCCAAGAAGCCCGCCGGAGACGCGGAGGCGGAAGAGCAGCGGCGCCUGCGCUCGCUGGCCGCGGAACAGCGGCGGCUGGCCGGCCCUGGAGUAGCACGCGAGGGAUCAGCGGUCGAAGCUCUGCCACCGAGCCCUCCUCCGCUAUCCUCGGUGACCCUUGGUCGUUGCCUCCAAGCUCUCCUAUUAGGCUACCAUGGCGGCCUACAGUGGCAGGAGAUGUCACGUCUGCAGGUGUCUAGGGCUGUAACAUGGACAAUAGAUGCAGUACUAAAUACAAUCAACGGCUAUCUUGUGUUGGAUUUCUUCUCAUCGGAGCUAUGAGGUCCAUUUUAUGGAUAGGUUCUCUGUGUGGCAGCACUUCAAGGCCUAAUAUGUAGCAUGCUACAUCAAUGCAUGGUAUGAGAGAACCGGGAUGCAAAUGCUACAUGCAGCUUCUGUACCAAGCUUGAAGAAAUUCAGAAAUUAAGGAAGCAUAAAAAAUUCAAGAUCUUUUACAUCAGAAUGUUGCUGCAUGUUUUGUAUAGAUUGGUAAUGCGCAGCAGCUGCAAGAGGUUACAAUUGUAGAUUACUCUGUUGGAAAUACGCGCCCUCAUGACCCCUUCAGCGUGGCAUUAUCACUCCAUGUCACCAUGUCGUAUGCACAGAUUUUCAUUGGAGACUAGCCAAUGAAGAUUGAUUGUCGUUUCUUGGAUUUCUUGUGAUUUGAGGCAUUAUUCCCAUUGAUUGGUACUUUCCCCAAACUAUUUCAGUAUGAUGCAGUCUUGAUGUGCUCAGAUGACUAUUUGCUGUAGUGAUGCAUAUAGUUCUCUGGAUCCACAGUACUCUUCUUUGCCUAUGUUGGAUUUGAUGCAGUUGCUAAUUUUGCCAAGAAAGCUAAAAGACCACUGUUAAAUUCAAUGUUUCCCCAUACUAUCACCUUUAGGUAUUUUUUGUCACCAUAAUUCAUUUUCUUCGAUGAAUUUCGAAAAUUUUCUCAAAAUUUUCAGUAGAUGUUUUCUCCUUUGUCACCAUAAUCCAUUUGAUUCUUAGAAUUUUGAAGUGUUCAGCAAUUCUCAUUAAAUAUUAUUCUUUUUUAUCUUAAUGUUUCAUUUUCUUCUUACACUUUAAUGAUCUUCCUUUUGGUUAUCAUAACCCGUUCUAAGUAUUCUUUUGACUCAUGCAAAAAAAUUCGUUACUGAUAAUGAAACGAAAUUUUCUAGAGGUAGCCUUCUGGUAUGUGUCAUACUAUAUACAUUUUUGUGUGCCUGGUGAUUUCUGGAAUGGUACCAUAUACAUUGCUUGGUGAAGAUGCUCCCUUGGCUGAGGCUUUUGCUGCUAAGAGGUUGAGAUUUGUUACUGUGUUGAGCAUUGGAGCUGUUGCUGAUCUUACUACAACACUUCUUGUUGGUCUGUAUGUUCAGGUAACCUCUAAUGUUAUUAUCUAGCACUAAUAGUUUCUUCUAAGUCAUGUUGUUUAGGUGUAUGUUCCUGUCAUGGAGUUCAUAUGGUCUCCGUGUUCUCUGCUUUCUUCAUUAUGUGUUUAUUUGCUUAGUUCCCGAAGUCCUCAUCUGCCAGAAGCACAACUAUCUGGUUGACUGGUCCUCUUUGCUUCUUCCACCCUUGCCGCCAGAGGACGCCACCCAUCAGCACAGAGCGUUUUGGCUCAGAGGCUAUUUUGAGCAGUGCUGCCAGAAGAUGCAGAUCAGGAAGGAAGCAGAGCAACCAGGCGCGAGUAAUGGUAUCAUCAGGGCUGCCUCAUAGGUUGAUUUAAAAAGGGUACAGUAUCCAGAAAAGAGGAUUUUUUUUAGCUUGAAAAGACUAUUCUACUGCACCAUCGCUGGUCAAUUAUUACACUACAUACCUCGCAUGGAAAAUUGUCACGUUGCUGGAUUUUGCUUCAAAAGCUCGUUGAACAAAAUAAUAGCAAUCAAGAACACGUGCUGCUUCAUCAGGCCAAUUCUUCCGCGCAAGACGCGGAGGCCUUCAUCGAGCUUCGCGGAAACCUUCGCAUGUCAGAUUUUGUUCAUCGCUUGCUUGCUUAUCAUCCUCGAAACAUUCCUGGCGCACCGCUAAAUAUAGUCCAGCAAUGUAGCAACCAAUUUCAACUCACACUCUUGAACACUUAUCUAAGCAUUUCCAGAAACUAGAAACAAAAGUAAGCUACAGCUUCCAUGGAGACUGUAAAGAUUCCAACGGAUGAGCUUCUGGAAGCCAUGCUAAAGAAGCUGGGUCUUCCAUGUCCCAGGUACGACAACAAGCACGCUGGUGGAGGAUGCUUUGAAAAAUAGAGGUCUGCGGGGUGGUUAUCGAGGAUGGCGAGUUCAUGUGCAAGUGGAUAUUUGUGUUGAGCGGGACCAGGAAGGCCAAGUGCAUCUUUGUUGCUGAGCACAUCAAGGAAUCUGUAUAUCAGUCAGCUAAUAUUCAGCCUCCAUAUACAUACCAGCGCUGCAUUAGCCUUCUGUGCAUUCAUCGUCGAACAGCAUACAAACAUUUAUCUUCUUUCCCCAGGAGAAAAAGGGCACCUUUCAGCGCUCUAGGUUUCUGUUGAAGGCGCUACAUCUUCUGCGGGGUGAUUACUUGUCAAAGAUGGCAACUACAUCGGUGGACCAAACUGCACAUUCUUUAGUUAUGGUGAAUGCAACUAUCUAACCAUUUCAAGGAUGUGUUAAAAGCAGGCUCAGUUUAUGCUAUAGAAUUCUUCAUGGAUAAAGGAGAUUAUGACCUAGCCAAAAAUAGCUUGCCACCGUUUUAUGAUACAUUAAUGCUAACUUUAAUAUACUCUUUUAUCCUAAUAUAAGACCUAGAUAUAAGAAAAUUAUUGGUGUCCUGCAUUUUUUAGUGUUUUAUAAAAUAAAAACUGAUGUGAAGUCAUGGGAUCGAUCA